rnacentral:rRNA from 1 species
GACGAACGCUGGCGGCGUGCUUAACACAUGCAAGUCGAGCGGUAAGGCCCUUUCGGGGGUACACGAGCGGCGAACGGGUGAGUAACACGUGGGUGACCUGCCCUUAGCUCUGGGAUAAGCCUGGGAAACUGGGUCUAAUACCGGAUAUGACUCCAUGACGCAUGUUGUGGGGUGGAAAGCCUUGUGCGGCUAGGGAUGGGCCCGCGGCCUAUCAGCUUGUUGGUGGGGUGAUGGCCUACCAAGGCGACGACGGGUAGCCGGCCUGAGAGGGCGACCGGCCACACUGGGACUGAGACACGGCCCAGACUCCUACGGGAGGCAGCAGUGGGGAAUCUUGCGCAAUGAGCGAAAGCCUGACGCAGCGACGCCGCGU